ensembl:lncRNA novel transcript
CAGGUUCAAGAGAUUCUUCUGCCUCAGCCUCCCAAGUAGCUGGCACUGCAGACACGCACCACCACACCCAGGCUACACAGAACAACAUCAUUAGCAACAUUGUUUCAGCAAGGAAAUAAUCCUUAUUGGCAAAGGGAAACCAAGGAAAGAAAACUAUUGUUUUCUUCGGCUACAUGCUGUCUGCAAAGCACCCCAUGGAUUCAAUUUCUCAUCAAUUCAGAAUGGAAUACUAACGUGCUGCCUAGAGAUACAGAAGUGGGAUGAACGCAGGGCCUUACUCAGCAUUCAGAACAAAACUGAUGGUGCUAGCAUAUAUAAGACUGAAACACCAAAGUCCUCCGUGGAAGUUAAUGAAUUUCUGGUUAUGAGUUGGAUUCUUCAGCGGAGUAUUUGAGCCAUGCCUUGAGGCACAUACUUCAAGUUGCUGCAUCCAGUUUUAAACUCCAGAUUGAGCUUUACAUAUUAAAUGUGCACAUUUGUUUUCACAUUUUUGAGCUUUGCCAGUGGCACCCUCUCUAAUUAAUCAUCCCGCGGGCUUAGAAAACUUCUGCCCAAUCCUUUCUGAUUUGUUAAAAGAAAGAGAGAAGGUUUUAGUCUGAAAAAGGCCUUAUCUGAUAAACAUCACAUUAUAUGGAUUUUUACAUUUAAGUACAUUUUCUUUUUAAAUCCGGUGGCUUUCCCAAACUAGAAAGAUGGAGUGUUUGCAUACAUCCACCAACCACCAACAUCAGCAGAAAGAAAGCUUGAUACAGUAAAGGAAAGAAAUGGCAAUUUAACAGUUCUUUUAUUUUCCAUUCAGAUCACAUACACAUUAACCAAAUGAGGCCUCACAGCGUGGAAUCUGAUAUCAUAGCAAUGUUUUCAGGAAGCAAUAAUUGAAUACUCCUCAUUAAAAAGGUUCAUAAAAGAAUCCUAUUAAAACCAAUACGAAUAAUAAACCUUGAAAAUGCUGCUUUAAAUUCCAAGAGGAUGGCGAAGAUCUGCGUCAGUAACAGUCUUCCUGUUCAUAGAGUGAUUUUGAAAAUCUCGUGGGCUGAAUUUUUCCAAGCCAAGCAGGCAUCUCACUAUCCAGUGAAAGACCCAGGGACUAUUUUGAAUGCAUUCAAUCCAAGCCUGUGCCUUUCACAGUCAGUUUUCUCCAAGAAUUUAUCCCUAAUCCUGACAGGAUACCCAACCAAAAGGCUAAUUAUUUUUAGUCACUUAAUUAAUAGAUAAUUCUUACAAAGAGCCCAACACCUGAACCCACCAAGUCCUCUUUGCAUGGGCAAAUCCAGCUGGUUUGAUGCACUAAUUUCACUAAAUGAAAAUUUGGACAAAUUUUAUGUUACUGCAAAUAAUGGUAAAUGUAUCCAAUUCAAAAAAUAGUAAUAAAAAGGUUAUUUUUUUGUUCCCUUUUUAAUCACAGAGGCAGCUGUGGUAGACCCCAAAUGCACAGGGCAUAUGGCUCACCUCACCACCCCAGAUGGUGCUACUGGCCCAGCCUUCCCAGCGUCCACCCUGGCAGUCUUUCCUCAUUCCCUUGGCCCUCACCCUGUCUCCUCAGCCUUCCAGCUGCACUGCUAUUGUAGGCUGCUCUUUCUCGACAAUCUCCUCUUAUUUUCUGUGAUGUCUCAGGAUGUUUCUUCUUCUCAGGGGUUUUCCAAGCUUCUUCCACACUCAGGUGCUCAGACGUUUUUAUGGUCUGGCUUCUGAAGGAGAUCAAAAUUCAUAUGGACAGGCAUUUGUGUAUUAGCCAAGAGUUGCUAAUGCAUUUCUUGAUCAUAAGUCUCAGAGAAAUGGGAUGAAAGAUCUUAGAUUUUUAUACACUCUGCUUCAAUGAUUUCUCAGCUUUUCUGAUCUGAAAAGAAUAAAGGACACCUUUUAGCUAA